rnacentral:rRNA from 1 species
CCUACGGGAGGCAGCAGUAGGGAAUUUUCCACAAUGGACGAAAGUCUGAUGGAGCAACGCCGCGUGCAGGAUGAAGGCCUUCGGGUUGUAAACUGCUUUUAUCUGUGACGAUUAUGACGGUAGCAGAUGAAUAAGGAUCGGCUAACUCCGUGCCAGCAGCCGCGGUCAUACGGAGGAUCCAAGCGUUAUCCGGAAUUACUGGGCGUAAAGAGUUGCGUAGGUGGCAUGGUAAGUUGAUAGUGAAAGCGUCCGGCUCAACCGGAUAUACAUUAUCAAAACUGCCAAGCUAGAGGACGAGAGAGGUUAUUGGAAUUCCUAGUGUAGGAGUGAAAUCCGUAGAUAUUAGGAGGAACACCGAUGGCGUAGGCAGAUAACUGGCUCGUUCCUGACACUAAGGCACGAAAGCGUGGGGAGCAAACGGGAUUAGAUACCCCUGUAGUC